GCGCGAAACCUUCACAAUGCACGAAAGUGUGAUGAGGGUACUCCGAGUGCGCAUACAUUGUAUGUGCUUUUCUGCAGCGUAAAUAGUUGCGGGAAUAAGGGCUGGGCAAGACCGGUGCCAGCCGCCGCGGUAACACCGGCAGCCCUAGUGGUGGCCGCUUUUAUUGGGCCUAAAGCGUCCGUAGCCGGAUAGGCAAGUCUUUGGGUAAAUCCUACGUCUUAAGCGUGGGAAUUCUAAAGAUACUACCUGUCUUGAGGCCGGGAGAGGCUAGAGGUACUCCUGGGGUAGGGGUAAAAUCCUAUAAUCCUGGGGGGACCACCGAUGGCGAAGGCAUCUAGCUGGAACGGGCCUGACGGUGAGGGACGAAACCCAGGGGAGCGAGCCGGAUUAGAUACCCGGGUAGUCCUGGGCGUAAAUGAUGUGGGCUUGGUGUGAGCGCAUCGACGAGGUGCGUUUGUGCCGUAGGGAAGCCGUUAAGCCCACCGCCUGGGGAGUACGGUCGCAAGGCUGAAACU
rnacentral:rRNA from 1 species